rnacentral:lncRNA from 1 species
ACUUCCAGGCAGGGCCUCGAGGAAGUAGGUGAGCUUCUCCAUCCCUGUCUGUCUAGAUGCAGAGAACCCAAAGCCCUGCAGGAUGGCAAAGCUGCAACAUGGAAGUCACCCGGAUCACCACGUAAAGGAAAUCUCUCCAACCAGGAACAAACACCUGCCUUGCAAUAUUAGGUCCUUCCUAGGGCUUGGUGCAUGUGCAUAUCUCCUUCCGGAAUCCUGGUCAAUACUAAGGUAAGAUGAAAAAACUGCGGGUUUGGGAUAAGCAGGAAAAAAGAAGCAAACUCUCUUAGUGGCGGAACUUACUGAAGUUAAGCUUCGAGUCUGUAUUGGUCAGGACUCUUGGUUGCAAGUGACAGAAUCCCAACUCUGUUAGUGUGGUUAAAGGUUAAGCUGCUGUAACAAAGAUGCCCAGCAGUGCAGUGACUUAAAGAAGACAAAAGUUUACUUCUUUUUCAACUGCGCUGCCAAGUUGUCAAGGCAGCUAUGAUCCAGGGGGCCACUCAGAGACCCAGGUUUCUUCAUAGUGCA